AGUCCUUAAGAGAGGCCAUCCUAACUAAUGUUUUGGUGAAUAUUGGAACUCUCUUGUUGGAGACAACAGUAGUCAACUCUUGGAAGAGAUCGUCCAAAGGUUCCUGAAGUAUGAUCACAUGCGAUGGCGAGAAAACUGGAGAGAGGGGCGAGUAGAGCUUUGAAAGCUAUUACUGAGAGAGCACCAAGGAAGAAGUCAAGAUCUCUUCGUGGUUCCCUCAAGGACAAAAACAUGUCUUAGUGAGUGAGUGAGUGAGUGAGUGAGUUUUACGUCGCUUUUUUAGCAAUAUUACUACGAGUGUCCCGAGUGUAACAAAACAUACAAAACUAUUGUAGGUUUCCGAGGGCAUAUGAAGAAAAAACAUAGCCUAUCAGAUAUCAAAGGUAUAGUAUAUAUUUAUUAAUUUGUAUUAGAAAAUAUAUCUUGUUUUAUGUCACAGUUGUAAUUGGAUUACUAAUAUUAUAAACAAAUUUCCAAACUACAAAACGGCUGCCACCGAAAGAUUUAUCCGAAUAUUACACAGAAUAUGAAACAAGAAAAAUAUAAAAUUCAAACUAACCCAGCCAGGUAAGGCAGUUUUAACGUCCGUAGGUGAAUUCGUAGGCCAGACUGGUUCGUAGACGUGGAAAUCCGCUUUUUAUCAGCUGCUGUCCGUCCAUACGUUCCUUGUCUCCAGGUCGUCUAUGAAGCAAGUUCCCCUUUUGUUCACAUUGAUGUCGCGGCGACAGACAGAAGACUAGGUGGCCGUCUUCAACGUGGUCAACGACCUCAUUGACAACAAAGCUGUGGAAAAAAAUGGUGACAGACUUUGAAGCUGCGAUCUGGAGAGGUUUUCAGCGAGUCUUUCCAGCCGUCCAGAUCAAAGGCUGCACCUUCCACAUGAAUCAGGCGAUUUAUAGGAAGGUGCAGAACUUGGGUCUGGCUACGGCUUAUGAAGAGGAGGUGGGUACACACAGAAUCGUCAAGAAGCUGAUGGGUUUACAAUUCCUUGACGCAGCUCAUAUCAGGCCAGCCUUCAUUAAGGUGAAACAGCAGGCUGUGACUGCAGAUCUGGUCAUCCUCUGCGACUAUUUCGAAGCAACCUGGAUCCAAAGCAGCGUGUGGACUGUGGCGAAUUGAAGUGUUUUCGGGAUGGCCAUCCAUACGAACAACGACCUUGAAAGUUGGCACAAACGCCUUAAUCAGCUGUCCGGAUGACGUCACUUACCCUUCUACAGGUUGUUCUCCCUCCUCUUUAAAGAAGCUGACCUUCUACCAUUACAGAUUCGUCUGGUGACAGACAGACAGCUGGACAGAAGACAACAUGUUUCCCAGCGGGCUAAGUCCAACAAGUUCUUCAGGUUAUGGGACGACUUCCAGGCCGCAAAUCUCACCGUGUCCCAGCUGCUGAGGGAGGUGUCCAAGUUGAAUGGACCCAUGGUUACUGAGUGAAUCAGUUUGUGAAACGUGCUGUUAUCUGUU